UCGACCCCAGGCCAGGAAGGAUUACCCGCUGAUUUUAAGCAUAUCAAUAAGCGGAGGAAAAGAAACUUACAAGGAUUCCCUUAGUAACGGCGAGCAAACCGAUAAUAGCCCAGCCUUAAAAUCGGGCGACACUGUCGUCUGAAAUGUAGUUUGGAGAAGCAUCCUCAGUGGCGGACCGGGCCCAAGUCCCCUAGAAGGGGGCACCAGAGAGGGUGAAAGCCCUAUUGUGCCUGGACCCUGUCGCACCAUGAGGCAUUGUGUACGAGUUGGGUUGUUUGAGAAUGCAGGCCAAAUCGGGCGAUGAAUUUCGUCCAAGGCUAAAUAUGGGCAACAGACCGAUAGCGAACAAGUACCGCGAGGGAAAGAUGAAAAGGACUUUGAAAUGAGAGUCAAAGAGUGCUUGAAAUUAUUAGGAAGGAAGCAGAUGGGGGCUGAUGAUGCGCCUCGAUAGGAUGUGGAAUAGCAGCGAGCCGGUCCGCCGAUCGACUCGGGGUGUGGACCAGCGUGCAUUGGGGGGUGGCUAAAGCCCGGACAUUUGAUAUGCUCAUGGAAUGCCAUCUCCUCGAUUGUUGUAGGUAGCGCGUGCCUCCGACAUACUUCGGCAUCUGGGCGCUAUGGACGCUGGCCUAUGGGCUCCCUAAUGGACCAAGGAGUCUGGCAUAUGUGCAAGUCAAUGGGCGAAUAAAUUCGUAAGGCAUAAGGAAGCUGAUUGGUGGUAUCCCUCCGAGCGGUGCACCGCCGACCAACCUUAAUCUUAUAAGAAGGGUUCCAGUGUGAGCAUACCUGUUGGGACACGAAAGAUGGUGAACUAUUCCUGAGCGGGGCGAAGCCAGAGAAAACUCUGGUGGAGGCCCGCAGCGAUAUUGAUGUGCAAAUCAUUCGUCUGACUUGGGUGUAGGACCCGCAGAUGCUUUGUCGAGCUGUGCCACAGAAUCAAGAGCUCUAAGUGGGCCAUUUUUGGUAACCAUAACUUGCGAUGUGAGAUGAAUCGGAAACCGGGUUGUGGUGCCCAACUACGCGCUAAGCUAGAUCCCACAAAGGGUGUUGGUCGAUUAAGACAGCAGGACAGUGGUCAUGGAAGUCAAAAUCUGCUAAGGAGUGUAUAACAACUCACCUACCAAAUAAACUAGACCCAAAAUUAGAUGGCGCUUAAGCGCUUGACCUACACCCGGCCGUCGCCAAGGAGUCUGGCAUAUGUGCAAGUCAAUGGGCGAAUAAAUUCGUAAGGCAUAAGGAAGCUGAUUGGUGGUAUCCCUCCGAGCGGUGCACCGCCGACCAACCUUAAUCUUAUAAGAAGGGUUCCAGUGUGAGCAUACCUGUUGGGACACGAAAGAUGGUGAACUAUUCCUGAGCGGGGCGAAGCCAGAGAAAACUCUGGUGGAGGCCCGCAGCGAUAUUGAUGUGCAAAUCAUUCGUCUGACUUGGGUGUAGGACCCGCAGAUGCUUUGUCGAGCUGUGCCACAGAAUCAAGAGCUCCAAGUGGGCCAUUUUUGGUAACCAUAACUUGCGAUGCGAGAUGAAUCGGAAGCCGGGUUGUGGUGCCCAACUACGCGCUAAGCUAGAUCCCACAAAGGGUGUUAGUCGAUUAAGACAGCAGGACAGUGGUCAUGGAAGUCAAAAUCCGCUAAGGAGUGUAUAACAACUCACCUACCAAAUAAACUAGACCCAAAAUUAGAUGGCGCUUAAGCGCUUGACCUACACCCGGCCGUCGGGGAAAGUUCCAGGCACUGAUGAGUAGGAUGGAGCGGCGGUCGCUGCAAAACCUUGGGCGCGAACUCGGGCAGAGCAGACGUCGGUGUUGGUGGUAGUAGCAAAUAUUCAAAUGAGAACUUUGAAUGCCGAAGAGGGGAAAGGUUCUAUGUGAACGACACUUGCACAUGGAUUAGUUGAUCCUAAGGGUCGGGGGAACCCCAACAGAUAUCACGUUUCGUGUGUACUCCGAAAGAGAAUCGUGUUAAAAUUCCUAGGCCAGGACGUGGCGGUCAACGACAAUGUUAGAAAGUACGGAGACAUCGGUGGGAGCUUCGAGAAGAGUUAUCUUUUCUGUUGAACUUCCUGCCCACCUUGGAAUCGGCUCAGCCAGAGGUAGGGUACAGCGGCUAAAAGAGCACCACACAUCGCAUGGUGUCCGGUGCACUACCGGAGGUCCUUGAAAAUCCAGAGGACCAAAUACCGUUCACACCCGGUGGUACUCAUAACCACAUCAGGUCUCCAAGGGGAACAAACUUUGGUCGAUGGAACAAUGUAGGCAAGGAAAGUCGACAAAAUAGAUCCGUAAUUCUGGAAAAGGAUUGAUACUGAGGGCUAGGCAUGGGGGUCCCAGUCCCAAACCCAUCGGCUGUCGGUGGACUACUCGAGCUGCUCCCACAGCGAGAGUGGGUCGCUGCAUGCCAGUCGGGGGACAAAAUGGGAAUGGUUCCUUCGGGGGCCUUCCUCGUGCGUCGAACAGCCAACUCAGAACAUGUACGGACAAGAGGAAUCCGAUUGUUUAAUUAAAACAAAGAAUUGCGAUGGUCCCAACGGAUGUUCACGCAUUGUGAUUUCUACCCAGUGCUCUGAGUGUCAAACUGAAGAAAUUCAACCAAGCGCGUGUAAACGGCGGGAGUAACUAUAACUUUCUUAAUGUAGCUAAAUGCCUCGUCAUCUAAUUAAUGACGCGCAUGUAUGGAUUAACGAGAUUCCCACUAUCCCUGUCUACAAUCCAGCAAAACCACAGCCAAGGGAUACUUGCUUAGUGUAGCCAAAUUCCUCGGCUCUCGCAUCGAUGAAGAACGUAGCAAAAUGUGAUACUUGGUGUGAAUUUCAGAUUCCCGUGAACCAUAGAGUAUUUGAACGUAAGUUACGCCCGAAGCCAUUAGGCCGAGGGCACAUCUGCCUGGGCAUCACGAAUCGCAUCGCUCCCCUCGCAUCUCAUCUCAAUAAUGGGCACGCUGUUGUUGUGGGGCGAAUACUGGCCUCUGGUGUACCUGGAGCUCGUGGCUAGCCUAAAUGCGAGUCCACGUUGACGGACGUCGCGACAAGUGGUGGCUAUAUCUCAACUCUCUUUGAUAGUGAGGCUAUAGCCCGUUGCACGUUUGGACUCUAGGUCCCUUUCGCGCUUAGGCACUCGACCACGACACCAGGUCAGGCGGGAUUACCCGCUGGAAGAGGGCGCCA
rnacentral:rRNA from 1 species